AAGGAUUUGGUGGUGCAAGCACAAAGGGAGGGGUGGACACUCGGUAAGGAGCAGUUUUCGCUGGAAAACUUAAUCGUCUCAUCAAUCGGAACGUUUAAGUUCAAGAACACGCUUAUGAAGUAUGAUCUGAUAGACGGCAAUCAGAUUGAAGACUUUUUAGCUUUGAGUGAUGUUACUCUUACGCUGGUCAAGCUGUUGUAUGGUGAUGACAUCAUUAGCUUCUUGCCGGAUGAUUUCAUGAUGAUGAUUGCUGAUACGGCUACAGUGGCCGGUCGUCGCCACCAACUUGCGCGACUAGAGUGGUCAGCCGCCAUGUGCGACUCGCGUGCUCGGCUACAGUGAUCGACCGCCGAAUCGUCGAUGGGACCCAACGGCAACCACCCUUUUUGUGGGAGAAGCUCUGAAACGGGCAUGCCACUCGAGUGCGUUCGUCGCGGGAGAUCUGGGAGAAAGAUUUUGUGGGUCCACCGGUCAGUCUCGGUUGGUCCACUGCUCAAAUUGAAAAAAGGCACUGUGGGAAGACUUAGAAGGAUGCGGCAGUAUGGGUUGGGGUCGACAUGGAUCGGAGUUGGAAACCAGCGGAAGGGGUCGGAUACUCAGGGGUCGGGACCGGGACCGGAGGUUGAGCUCUUAAACUCGGGAAAGCUGAGACAGGGGAUUAGGGACUCGGAUUAAGAUUUACUUGAAAGAUUUGGGGUUGGUCGUUACAGCGCCCCUCGUCGACCCCUGGGGCGCGGCCUCCAAGCCCCGCAGGGUCGCGCCCUGGGCGGGCGGUCCGCUCAACCUGUCCCCCGCGGCCGGUUGACGGGACUGGUCCCGGAUGAUGAGCGUGCCAGGCACGAAGGCCGGGACGUAACCCUCCUCCUCCUCGGUCUCGUCUUCAUCAUCCUCAUCGUCAUCAUCAUCAUCGUCGUCCGUCACGACCGCGCCGCUCCGCCGCCUUCGGAACUCCUUCGUGGCCCUCUUCCUCCUCCUCGCCGUCUCCUUGUCUUUCCUCCUCUUCUACUUUUCAGUGAGGAGGCAGUUCUGCUGCGGCCGCGCUGCGUCCUCCGGCACUGGCGGGUGGGAGGCUACGGCCUGGUUCAACUCGCCCUGCAGACUCGAAAAUAUCACGUCAGGAAUGGCGAACUAGAAAACACAUGAAAGAAGGAUGAGAAGACAAAGAUUUCUCACCAGCGGGAUGUGGCCUUCGUCCAGGCGCAUCGGAGGGUGAUCCGGCACCGGGUAAACGACGUCCCUGUCGCCCAGCGCCUCACGGACACGCUGCUCGAUCUAGGCGUCGGCGAGCACACCCGUCGCAAGGACGGCGCCGUCAGUCGCCGCGCCGGGAACCAUAUCGCCAAGCGCAGGGGCUUGGAGCAUCAGUGGUGGCACCCUCCGAGCGUGGUACGCCCCGAUAACUCCGGCCCUGGUUAGGCCCUCCUUCAAGCGAUUGAUGGCCUAGAGAAAACCAGUGAUGUUCCUCUUCUCCUUCUCGACCGAACCAUACGUCCAGUUGUCCGGCGCCUCCGCGAUGACGCGGCCGGUGAACUCCAGCAAGGGGGACUCGGAGCAGUUCUUCAUGUAGAACCACUGCUGGUGCCACCCCUUGUGAGACGGCGCGGUCUUCAUCACCAUGUACUUCUUGGCGCGGUUCUGGCGGAGGUGGAUGCCAGCGCACCCCAUCGGCACCGGACCUGUCCGCACCUGGAUCCCCUUCUUCUCGAUCUUGUGAUGCAGGGUGACCGCGAAGAAGUAUUUCCAAAGCGAGAACUUGGGCUCAAUCCCCAGGUACCCCUCGAACAGAGCGACGAACGCCGCGAUGUGCUGGAUCAAGUUGGGGUUGAGGUGCUACAGCUCGAGCCCGUAGUAAUGCAGCAGCCCGCGGAAGAAGUGGCUCGGCGGAUUCGCAAACCCCCUCUCGUGGAAGUGCGCGAACGAGACGAUGUAUCCGUCAUCCGGCUUCGGCGCAUCCUCCCUCCCGGGGUACCACCACUCAUUCUUGGCGGUCCUCUCGCAAAGGAGGCCCUUCUUCACGAGGCUGGUGGCGCGAGCGGUGUUGAAGUUCGAGCGCAGCCAGGACUCCAUCGCUAAGGGAAGGGAAGGCUCAACGGUGGGGGCGGAGAAGGCUAAUGCGCUGGAACGAAGGGAGGUGAAAAGUGCGCAAGAAAGCAAGAAAGGCUGGAGACGAGUGCAGACUCCCUCGUCUUAUAGGGGGCGCGUGGGAAACGAAAGGGCAAUCCGAUCGCAGUUAUUGCGACGCCAGGUACGCCCAUCACUCCGCCUUUUUCGAACCGUGCACACGAUCUCUUCCAACCGCAGGGAACGUCUCCCCUCCUCGUUUCGCGGGCCUGGUGUUUUCCGUGGCUUCACCUCCCAAAGGAUGCACGCGCAUGACUUCCUCCACGUACGGCCCGGGGCCCACCAACAGGUAAAAAAAGGGAUACGGAGCUGAAAAUGCUCCUACGGCCCAUUACGGUCCAGGGGUUCGAAGGCUGGCCCACCGCAGGGUUCGACAGUCACCCCAGGACACUCCCGAGCAAGGGGUGAGAAGGGACGGGUCCGCUAGCGGGCACCACCCAGGCGAGCGAAAGCCAAGGGCGUCCCGACCUCACGUUCGAGGCCGGACUGGCGUUUAAGUUUAUGGUUUUUCCCCGAAGAAAGGCAACGAGCCCCUGGAUCCGAUCGAACGGAUCCGGGAACUAUAUGAAUUGGCCAUCCGGAAUCUGGAGUACGCCACUAGCUUGGCCCAAGCCGAACCCCCCCGAACGGGGACCGGGACUCCACUCCAACUGAUCCGUUAGCAGCUCACCGAGCAUCAUGGUUCGUCCGACGAGGGUAACAUGGCACGGCUCACCCCCUCCGUCCCAACGAACGGAUGCUUGAGGGGUACCGAUUAAAAGACAAUCCAACCUCUCGAUCGGUCCCCUACAACGCGCGGGGGCUCGGGGGCUGGAAUCGCAACCAACGACCAUGCGUGUGGUCAAUAUUUGGAGUCUUGGAGCAGGAGUGGUCGUCGGAACGAUAGGGAAUCUUCCCGAACCGAGCCAUCCUCAGAACACCCCGCCUACCCAAAACUCCCCGGCCAGGCCAAACGAGCGAAGCUUUUCCUCCCUGAUCAAAUGCAGGUUGCAGGUCAAACAAAGAUCCUUGAUGAACGACGAACAUAGCCUCUGGAGGAGCAUUCUUGCUCCACCAAAGGCUCGGGGGCUACUGUUGGGGGGAAAUAUUAACGACUUCCUUAUAUUCCUUAAACGACAGUUAUAAGGGCCCGGGCCCACCUCCAGCAACAGUGACCUCCGCCGACUUGGCCCGACCCCAGGGUCACAGGGUCGGACGCGCUUGACCCCCCGAGGCCGCUCCUCAUCCCAGCCGAGAGAGUUCUGCCUCGCCCGACCCCUCGCAGCAGGUCUCCGCCUCGCCCGACCCCAGGCGCAAGGGGUCGGACGCGCCCGACCCCUCGUCGCAAGGCUCCGUCUCGCCCGACCCCGGGCGCUAAGGGUCGGACGUGUCCGGACCCACAGGAUAGGGCUUCGCCUCGCCCAAAGGACGUGCGCGGACCAACAGACGAGGGCGCAGAUCUUGUGGGCCCCCACCGAUCUCGCCAUCAAUGCAACCGAUGGGACGCGCAUGCUCGGAACACGGCUCUGACACACGGAGAGGCGCCCGCGUUCCUCUACGUGACCUGCUGGAGUUUUCGGGCGGCGCACUGCUGCCACGACUGCACAGGGCUACAGCUGCACCAUCCUAACCCUCCCCUGUGACAUUCGUCAUAGGGCACUCAUCGCCCAUGCUACCUAACUAAGGAGGGUGCGCCGCCCGGUUUCCCGCUCGGCCCGGCGGCAGGGGCGUGUCAGCCGCGCCCCCCGGUCAGCACGCAUGGCUACAAUGGUCGCCCGUCAUCCGCGACGUGCACGGCUACGGUGGCCAGUCAUCAUCAUCAACUCGCACGGCUACAGUGGUCGGUCGCCACGCACGUCUCGCGUGCUCGGCUACAGUGGCCGACCGCUGGGUCAUCGAUGGGACCCAACGGCAACCACCCCUCCUCGGUGGCCACGCUGACAGGACGCAGAAAUCAGAAGGGAAGGCGGCCACCCCGGUGGCUCGACCCCUCUCCCUGUGCUUUACCUUCCUUGCUUACCUUUUUUUACUUCCCUUUACUCCUGGCUCAAUGGUAACUCAUGUGUCCUCUUUACGCUAUAAAAGGAGGACCAGGGGGGCCGAGAAAGGGACGGCUCUCGAAUGGAACAAUCCAACUCCGACCCGCAAUCCAACCUCACGAGCAUCAGUGCACACCCACAGAGACUUGGGACCAGCUUCCCUCUCUCGCCCGUUUGUAACCCCUACUACAAACUUGGCACGAGUAACACGAGCAGCCUCCCACUCUGGACGUAGGGCUAUUCGUGUCCGAACCAGUAUAAAUCUCGUGUCCUCUCGUGCAACCAUCUGAGCCUUACACGCAUAGAAAACAAAUUUACUUGCCGGAGUCUUGACCCAUGAUUCUUGACACCGACACAAAGGUAAAUAAAAUCUAGGCGAACCUUAAUUGGGACCCAUCAAGAUUAAAAGUAUUAUGUGCAUAACAAUGUUGUAUUGAACAUGAAAGUAAAGGUGAAUAGGACUUAAAGAAAUGAUCAAGGACACGACUUGCCUUCUUGACCUUGCUCUUGCUAUUCAUACUCCUCGAAGGCUUGAUCUUCAAAUCCCUCGAACUGCUGAACGUCUACACGCGUCACAUGAGCACGUACAAGCAAACAAAUGCGUAACAUGAAAAACAGUACACCAAUCAUAAUAAACAGAGAAAACAAGAUUGAAAAACUAAUCUACGCAUUAAAACGAACACGUGGAUAUAAAGAACGCGAAAAACGAAGUUAAGAUGCAAAAGAUAUGAUUAAAACAAGUUUUAGGGGCUUUUCAGCGAGAAAAACAACUUCCAGGGCUAAACUGUGAGAAACCGAGGACUUAUACGUAAUUACGCAUACAAACCGAAGGUUUAAUGCGCAAAAACGCCACUCCGGAUGGCGGGUUAAUUUUAUAAAAGAGCAGGGUUUAAAACAGAAGAAAACAGGACCGGCUCGUAAAUAUUUUUGAACUAGCUUGGACUGCAGGUUGAUUUGCGGAGAACGCGAGGGUUAAAAUGCAAAAAUGAUGCGGCGUGGCGCGGUUGACCGGUGCGCUGCUAGUUGACUCUCGCCCAGGCCGUCGAUUCGAGAUCGAGCGGCUGGCGAGGCGCUGCGCUGACGCCAGCAGCGGUGAGCGGCGGUGAGAGGCGGCAGUGCGGCGGUGCUCCGCCGGAGCUGCUCGAAAAUGAGCUCCCGGCCAUGGUUUCACGUGCGGAUUGCACAGGAAGCACGAGGGGCGCACAGCGAACUCGUUUGGAGCUUCGGCGAGGGACUAGGCGCGGUCGAGACUCACCAUGAGGCUGAGCUUGCAGCAGCGGCGCUGGAACUCGGAGGCGGCUAGGGUUUGGUGGUGCGGCAAAAAGGACCAGGGGUGGCGGCCUUAUAUAGGGGCGGAGGCGGCACCGGCUCAGCCCGAGCUCGACGCGGAUGCAGGGACUCGGCGUGCGGAGGAAGGAAGGCGCGGCGCAAGAAAAAGGAAGGGGGCGGCGCGCUGGGAGGAAAGGAGCGGGAGGAGGAAGAAAGGAAGGUGAGGGACGACGCUGCCCACCUAUCGGCGAGAGGAAGCGGUUGCUGCGCCGCGAGCAGGCUGGCGCGGAAACGGGCCAGGGAAAGGGAAUGUGGGCCUGCGGAGCUGGUGGUGGGUUGGAGGAGAAGAAAGGGAGUAGUGUUGGAGGAAAAGGAGAAGGAAGGGGAUGCAACCAAAAAGAGAAGGAAAAAAAAAGCCUUUUUAUGUAAAAAGGGAUUUGAGUUUAGAAUUUGAAUUUGAUCAAACACAGUCAAUCAAAAUAAAUGCACCAGCAUGCAUGCACAAUAAACUCCUAUGGUGAAUCAUUUUAAUUUGAGAAAAUAAAAUUAAAUGCCUAGAAAUUUAAAUAACAUCCUAAUUGAGCAAUUUUUAGUGGAUUUGAAUUCUUUUAAUUUUGGGUGUUACAAUUUGGUGGUGCAAGCAUACAGGGAGGGAUGGACACUCGAUAAGGAGCAGCUCCCGCUGGAAAACUUAAUCGUCUCAUCAAUCGGGAUGUUUAAGUUUAAGAACGCGCUUAUUAAGUAUGAUCUGAUUGAGGACUUUUUAGCUUUGUAGCUGGCAGUGGCUUCUCAAACGCUGGCGGUUUGCUUGCAUGUAACUUGUUCCGAAAUUAGAAUUCAGAAGUACCCGGGAAUGGCAGUUGAGUUGGACAGUAUCAUAGGCAGAAAUAAUGUGUGUAUGCUUGACCAUGCUCGUCGGAAUGGAAGCCUCUGAACAGGCUAGUAGGUAAGAUGAGAAUGAAUCGUUCAAAUCCUCUCCGUUCCCCUCGGCUGUCCAGCGGCCAACUUGUUCUUAUGGUUCUCUGAAUUUUGAUGCUGCUGUGAUCUGGUACAUGCUGUCAAGCUGAUUGAUCGUUAGACAUGUGUGUGCUUUAUUCUAUUUGAUAAACACAUCUAUUCCUUUCACUGUCUGCUAACUUGCAUCAAUUAGUAUGGGUGUAUGCUUGACUAUGCUUCCAACAACGUUGGUAGUCUUAAGAUGUGAAGGUGGUCCAAUAUCUUUAGACUUUAGGUCCCAUCAGAAUUUGUGAAGCAUCAGUUUAAUCAUUUACAUACAGACAAGCUUGUGUCAGCGGAUGAGGAUCAGGUCUAACCUCUUCGGAUUGGGAGAGAUGAAGCAAUCUCCCAGGUCCCAGCAAACCACCUCUUCGGAUUGGGAGAGUUGAAGCAAUCUCCCAGCAAACCUAGGGGUUGGAUAUAAUCCCUGGACCGCUAUCAUUCUUCUGAAGUAACCAAUCCUGUCACAUUUUCUACAUCACAAUAAAUUAUCAAAGUCCUUGUCUGUUCUAAAGUUUACAGAUGGAAACCCGUAUCGGUGAAACAUGUUGUGUUAGUGAUAUUUGGGAUUGCAAUGACUGCGGG
rnacentral:lncRNA from 1 species